AUUGAACGCUGGCGGCAUGCCUUACACAUGCAAGUCGAACGGCAGCACGGGGCAACCUGGUGGCGAGUGGCGAACGGGUGAGUAAUGCAUCGGAACGUGCCAUUGAGUGGGGGAUAACGUAGCGAAAGUUGCGCUAAUACCGCAUAUUCUGUGAGCAGGAAAGCAGGGGACCGCAAGGCCUUGCGCUCUUUGAGCGGCCGAUGUCAGAUUAGCUAGUUGGUGAGGUAACGGCUUACCAAGGCGACGAUCUGUAGCGGGUCUGAGAGGAUGAUCGCCACACUGGAACUGAGACACGGUCCAGACUCCUACGGAGGCAGCAGUGGGGAAUUUUGGACAAUGGGCGCAAGCCUGAUCCAGCCAUGCCGCGUGAGUGAAGAAGGCC
rnacentral:rRNA from 1 species